rnacentral:rRNA from 1 species
GAUGAAUGCUUGCUGUGUGGAUAAGGCAUGCAAGUCGAGUGGGUUUAGACCCACGGCGAACGAGGUAGUAACACGUAGGAACAUGCCCUCGAGUCGGGGAUAAUCUGGAGAAAUCCAGGAUAAUACCCGAUACCCGGUAACGGAAAAGAUUUAUCGCUCGAGGAUUGGCCUGCGGGAUAUCAGCUAGAUGGUAGGGUAAAAGCCUACCAUGGCUAUGACGUCUAGGGGAGGUGAGAGCCUGGCCCCCACCGAUGGGACUGAGACACGGCCCAUACUCCUACGGGAGGCCGCAGUCGAGAAUCUUCCGCAAUGGACGAAAGUCUGACGGAGCGACACAGCGUGGUGGAUGAAGUCCUUAAGGACGUAAACACCUUUUAUAAGUGAAGAAGUUUAUUGACAUUAGCUUAUGAAUAAGGGGCUGCUAAUCACG